rnacentral:rRNA from 1 species
AAGUCGUACAGGUCUCCGUAGGUGAACCUGCGGAGGGAUCAUUACACAAAUAUGAAGGCGGGCUGGAACCUCUCGGGGUUACAGCCUUGCUGAAUUAUUCACCCUUGUCUUUUGCGUACUUCUUGUUUCCUUGGUGGGUUCGCCCACCACUAGGACAAACAUAAACCUUUUGUAAUUGCAAUCAGCGUCAGUAACAAAUUAAUAAUUACAACUUUCAACAACGGAUCUCUUGGUUCUGGCAUCGAUGAAGAACGCAGCGAAAUGCGAUAAGUAGUGUGAAUUGCAGAAUUCAGUGAAUCAUCGAAUCUUUGAACGCACAUUGCGCCCUUUGGUAUUCCAAAGGGCAUGCCUGUUCGAGCGUCAUUUGUACCCUCAAGCUUUGCUUGGUGUUGGGCGUCUUGUCUCUAGCUUUGCUGGAGACUCGCCUUAAAGUAAUUGGCAGCCGGCCUACUGGUUUCGGAGCGCAGCACAAGUCGCACUCUCUAUCAGCAAAGGUCUAGCAUCCACUAAGCCUUUUUUUCAACUUUUGACCUCGGAUCAGGUAGGGAUACCCGCUGAACUA